AAAAUACAAAGUCUAUAUAAUGUAUAGUGAUACUAUCUAUUUAAAAUUCUAGUUAAUAUCAUACUUAUCAAUCACCUAUUUUGUCUAAGCAGAUUUUUAGUUAUGUUGGUUUGUUUUUGUAAUGUUCUACAUGAUUUAUUCUUCUGUGGGUUAUUGAGUUAUAUGUGUGCACAUAGAAAACAUAUCCGUCUUGUGCUGUUGUAGUAAUAUAUUUAUUAUGAUCACUAACUGAUUGAUGGUUAUAUUAGGCCACGAGAGUAUGUAUACAGGUUUGAUUGUAUAUCAUAGAUAUUCAUAACUGUAUAUACAAAAUAUUUCAUUAAAUUCCAGCGAAUUUGUAAAAUAACAUUUCAGAUACGCUCUCUCAUAAAAUCUGCUAUAAUAAUCAUUCAAGUAAAAUAAAUU
rnacentral:lncRNA from 1 species